rnacentral:rRNA from 1 species
UGCGUAGGCGGUCUCUCAAGUCUGGCGUGAAAGCCCAGGGCUCAGCCUUGGAAGUGCGCUAGAAACUGAGAGGCUUGAGUGCCGGAGGGGAGAGUGGAAUUCCCGGUGUAGCGGUGAAAUGCGUAGAUAUCGGGAGGAAUACCGGUGGCGAAGGCGACUCUCUGGACGGCAACUGACGCUGAGGCACGAAAGCUGGGGAGCAAACA